rnacentral:lncRNA from 1 species
ACGCUUAGAAACUUCCAGCAUCUAGGUUUUAGCUUCUCAUGUAGCCUCCUGGAGACCCAAAAUAAAGUCCCCACCCAAAUAUUCUGAUGACUCGAGUCACAGUCUGCCCAAGUAGCUCUUUUCAUGCAUUUUUUUUUCUGAAAAAGUCUUUGGUUUCUGAGUCACCAACAUCCUUGGUGGUUAUUUUCCCAGCUCCUAUCUUUCCUUUGGUUAUCUUUAAGCCAUUCUCCGUAUCAGAAAUAUUGCUCGGCUCUCUCUCCGAGGCAGCCCACUGGAUAGCACACCAAAAUUAGCUUUAUCAAAACCCACAAUUAGAGGACGGACAUUUUUAUUCACACAAAGCUGGAAUUUGACAGGAUUAAAUACCUUGUAUUGAAGUCAAUGGCAAUCAUGAAUUAUGGAUUCUUUGCAAAGAGCGAGGAAAAAUUAGCUCCUGGACCUGCUUCCAAAGUCGGGAUAAACUGAUGACAAACCCGAUAUCGACCAGUCAUAUUUUAAAUGUCUUUAAAAUUUACCAGCACUUCUGGAUACAAGGAAUUUAUUAGAUCAAAUGCAGCAAAACAGGAUGAAAUAGAUGAGGUAAUUUUGUUUUUGAAAUAUGGGUAGACAGAAUACUGGAUGCAGGUGGCUCUUGCUGUUUCGAGCUUGAUACUGGUGACAGGAUAUGGCAAUGAGCUUUGGUGUCUGUACCUCAUCAAUCACCCGGAAUUCACGUCAUUCAGUGAGGCUACCGUGGGGAAGGAGCCCUUCUCAAAAUGCUGGCUGAAUUAAGUACCUGCCACUGAAUGGGACACAAGUUCAAACCAGUGGAAGUGGGAAAAAGCAACUAAAAGCAAACGAAGUAUCAAACAG